AUUGAACGCUGGCGGCAGGCUUAACACAUGCAAGUCGAGCGGAGAUGAGGUGCUUGCACCUUAUCUUAGCGGCGGACGGGUGAGUAAUGCUUAGGAAUCUGCCUAUUAGUGGGGGACAACAUUCCGAAAGGAAUGCUAAUACCGCAUACGUCCUACGGGAGAAAGCAGGGGAUCUUCGGACCUUGCGCUAAUAGAUGAGCCUAAGUCGGAUUAGCUAGUUGGUGGGGUAAGGGCCUACCAAGGCGACGAUCUGUAGCGGGUCUGAGAGGAUGAUCCGCCACACUGGGACUGAGACACGGCCCAGACUCCUACGGGAGGCAGCAGUGGGGAAUAUUGGUCAAUGGGGGGAACCCUGAUCCAGCCAUGCCGCGUGUGUGAAGAAGGCCUUAUGGUUGUAAAGCACUUUAAGCGAGGAGGAGGCUACUGAGACUAAUACUCUUGGAUAGUGGACGUUACUCGCAGAAUAAGCACCGGCUAACUCUGUGCCAGCCGCCGCAGUAAGAC
rnacentral:rRNA from 1 species